CUCAGCCUUUUAGCUAAGAUUAAUUGUAUGAUUUGUCCUUACCAGUUUAAUA
rnacentral:snRNA from 1 species